CCAUUUUGAAUCAUCUGUUGGAAAACAAGUAAUGCAUAUUAGGAGGUUUCAACUGCAGGUUCAGAAACGACUCUUCUUUAGCCAUGGCUUUGGCUCUGGCUGUAUUUGUCUUGGUCCUUGUUUCUUUCAGUGCUGCAUCUGCUCCUGACUGCAAAGACCUGAUCAAACCCAUCAUACCUGAGGAACCUAAACAGGUGUUUGGAAAAUGGAUCUAUGUGCUGGGAACUGGAGACCCCAAACCGUACCACAACGCCCUGAAGUCUCUGAAAAGCAGCUGGAUUGACUUAUCUCCCACAUGGAACAGUGCACUGGUGACAUUACGAUGGGGAGAUCAUUGUUUGUGAGUUCAUUCACCUUUUAAAACACCCUCAGGUAUCAUAUUCAGUCUUUUUUGACACUGGUUCAGACUGCUGUCACACCUUCCUGUGUCCCAGUAACCGCUGCAUCUAUGGGGAGGUGAAUGCUACAGUGGCAGGACUUUCAACCACAUUUCGCAGUAAGUAAAAGUAUCAGUUCACAAUAACACACAGACACGUCUCUGCAUGAAGACUAUGUUUCAGACCAUAUAAGGAUAGGGAUAAACAGAUCACAUUCAUUGUCAUUACUACAAACACAAAGUUUGUCAUCUAUUUUUAACUCAUCCUUGAGGAGCACAGAGCAGUUAGGAGUUAGAGGUACGGGACUUGUUCAACAGCUCACCGUGGAUUCAAACUGACAACCCUCCCUUUACAAUCCACUUCAUUCACCAUCAGUCCACCAUGGCCCAGAAGACAUGCACAGACUGCCGACUGCUGUAAAACUGCUGAAAAGUGGAAGUAAGGUGUGAAAUUGUGCCAAGUUUAAGGAAUGCCAUUCCCUUUUUAAGGAUGAAUAGUAUGGACAAAGUGACUUUAUGCAGACCACAUGUUUCUGACCAUCACAAGGCCACAGUCUGCUUGUAUUCCUCCCAUAAUGCAUAAUGUCAUUGUUUUAUUUAAGUUGUUAAUGUAGCCAUUAAACAGCAGUAUAGUGUAUAAACCAGACC
rnacentral:lncRNA from 1 species